rnacentral:rRNA from 1 species
CAGGUGCUGCAUGGCUGUCGUCAGCUCGUGUCGUGAGAUGUUGGGUUAAGUCCCGUAACGAGCGCAACCCUUGUCCUUAGUUACCAGCACGUUAUGGUGGGCACUCUAAGGAGACUGCCGGUGACAAACCGGAGGAAGGUGGGGGAUGACGUCAAGUCAUCGUGGCCCUUACGGCCUGGGCUACACACGUGCUACAAUGGUCGGUGCAAAGGGUUGCCAAGCCGCGAGGUGGAGCUAAUCCCAUAAAACCGAUCGUAGUCCGGAUCGCAGUCUGCAACUCGACUGCGUGAAGUCGGAAUCGCUAGUAAUCGUGAAUCAGAAUGUCACGGUGAAUACGUUCCCGGGCCUU